UCUGUGCGCUCAGGGCGGGGCACCUGCUGGUGUGCCGCGGGCGGGACCGUGGUGGCUCUGAGCCGGACGGGCCGAGCCCCCGGGGAUUCCCUGCGGCUCCACACCAUCCUCAGGCCUCGCCCGGACCCGCAGGAGCCCCGUCAGCCCCACAGGCCCCCACCUUCCCGCUCCUUUUGUCCGACGUAGGUUCACGGAGAAGCUGGAGCAGGAGGCCCGUUUUCCCGGCGGCGCCUCUCAGGAGGCGGCGGUGGCUGCAUGCAGGGGGUGGCCGGUGAGUGGGCAGACCUUCUGGCUUCGAGCGGCCGUCUUGCCUCCUGAGAACAAGAGUGAGCCGGCCACCUUCUCGGCACCGGAGCUCCGUUUCCUCGUCUGCAGAAUGGGACGCUAAUCUUACCCCAUUGGCUCGUUGAAAACACCGGAGCGGGAGCCCGGCUCCAAGUAAAUGCCCCAGGGCGUGGCUCCUUGCGCCGGGUGUCCCCAUCAGAGCGACCCCGGGCGAGGUUUCAGUUUUUCUCCGGCAAAGCAGGAGGCUGGAGGGGGCAGUGUGGUGCUGAGGGGCCAGCACCCACGGGUGGCCGGGAGUUGCUGGUGGGGGGUGCCAUGGCCUUGCCUUACCCGUUCUCUGUUGAGGCCUGGAAAAGGCUGGGCGGGUUUUAGUUGUGAGCCCCCCGCCCAGGCAUCUGGUCAUUCGGGGACUCAGGAGAACUUCGCUCACCGGUCAGUGCCUCCUAUGGCCAGUGGCAGACAGUUGUACCUUUGGCAGUAACAGUUUCCACAGACCACGGAUUAUGGGACUUUAAGUUCAGUUCACCUUUAUGAAACAUCUACUAUGGGCAAGAUCUGCAGAUACAGUGAUGGACAAGACACCAUUUCUAUCCUCAAGAAGGUCACAGUCGAGGGGGAAAAGGACACACAAACAGGCAACAGCCACACUGCUUGAUAAAGACGGGGACAGAGCACAGGGCGUGAAAGUACAGAAGAAGGGCCCCUGAUCUGGAUUUGGGGAGCUCAGGGGAGGCUUUCUAGAAGGAAGACCUGUGAGUCAUCUCUUGAAGGGCGAAAAGAAACCUGUUAGAUGAAGAGGACGGAAGGGCAUGCCAGGCAGAAGGAAGCAUGGCUUGUCGGAGGACCUGGAAGCGGGGGGCUGGGACCGAGCCCGAGGCGUCUCUGAGGCGCCUGGAGACUGAAGAGGCCGAUUCGCCCGAAGGAAGAGCCCAUCCUGUGGCUCAAGCGCCACCACCCCCGCGAAGCCUCAGUGUGCUACCUCCGCCUUCAAUGAGCCGUACCGUCUAUACCACACUUGGGAUCUCGGUCGCGGCUCCUUUUCAUCCACGAAAGUAUAGCCUCUGUGGUGAGACCAUAAGCUCCUGAGGGCUGCCUGUGAUAACGUUUAGUUUAAUAAAUACCAAGAAGACCGAGCCCUACUGGUGUGGAUUUCGGGACACGUGGAAAGUGCCGGGGCUUUGGGGUUGGAUUGGAUUCUGGCCAUGCCACUAGGUCCCCGUUAGUAACUGCGGGCGAAUUUUAAAACCCGCCUGCUGCCUCAGUUUCCUCCUCUGUAAAGUGAAUGAUGGCUCCAAGUCACCGGUUGUUCUGAGGACCCGGGUGUGGCUGGGGGCUGGGGGACGGGCUGGGGCUUCCCAGCAGGGGGGCUUCGGCCACAGCAGCAGCGGAGGGCAGGCGAGGCGGCAGGCCAGGGUGGGGGAGCUGAUGCCAUCCGGGCCGGGCUGAGCAGCUCCCAGUGUGGUCCGGUGGGCUGGCCCGCGAAUACCC